rnacentral:rRNA from 1 species
GAUGAACGCUGGCGGCGUGCUUAACACAUGCAAGUCGAACGAAGCACCUUGAUUUGAUUCUUCGGAUGAAGAUUUUGGUGACUGAGUGGCGGACGGGUGAGUAACGCGUGGGUAACCUGCCUCAUACAGGGGGAUAACAGUUAGAAAUGACUGCUAAUACCGCAUGAGACCACAGCACCGCAUGGUGCAGGGGUAAAAACUCCGGUGGUAUAAGAUGGACCCGCGUUGGAUUAGCUAGUUGGUGGGGUAACGGCCCACCAAGGCGACGAUCGGUAGCCGGACUGAGAGGUUGAACGGCCACAUUGGGACUGAGACACGGCCCAG